CAGCUCUUGACAUGGUGGUCGUAUUGUCCGUAAUGGGACAAGUCGGUUAGGCCGGACCACACACAGGUGCUGCAUGGCUGUCGUCAGUUCGUGUCGUGAGAUGUUGGGUUAAGUCCCGCAACGAACGCAACCCUUGUCGUUAGUUGCUAGCAGGUAAAGCUGAGGACUUUAACGAUACUGCCGGUGAUAAACCGGAGGAAGGUGGGGAUGACGUCAAGUCAUCAUGGCCCUUAUGGGCUGGGCUACACACGUACUACAAUGGUGGUUACAGAAGGCAGCGAAGGGGCGACCUGGAGCGAAACCCAAAAAACCACCUCAGUUCAGAUUGCGCUCUGCAACUCGAGCGCAUGAAGUCGGAAUCGCUAGUAAUCGCGGAUCAGCGUGCUGCGGUGAAUACGUUCCCGGGUCUUGUACACACGC
rnacentral:rRNA from 1 species